ACUCGAGUGGCGAACGGGUGGGUAACACGUGGGUGAUCUGCCCUGCACUUCGGGAUAAGCCUGGGAAACUGGGUCUAAUACCGGAUAGGAGCCAUUUUUAGUGUGAUGGUUGGAAAGUUUUUCGGUGUAGGAUGAGCUCGCGGCCUAUCAGCUUGUUGGUGGGGUAAUGGCCUACCAAGGCGGCGACGGGUAGCCGGCCUGAGAGGGUGUACGGCCACAUUGGGACUGAGAUACGGCCCAG
rnacentral:rRNA from 1 species